rnacentral:rRNA from 1 species
GACGGGGACCCGCACAAGCGUGGAUGAUGUGGAUUAAUUCGAUGCAACGCGAAGAACCUUACCUACCCUUGACAUGUCCGGAACUUGCCAGAGAUGGCUUGGUGCCCGAAAGGGAAUCGGAACACAGGUGCUGCAUGGCUGUCGUCAGCUCGUGUCGUGAGAUGUUGGGUUAAGUCCCGCAACGAGCGCAACCCUUAUCAUUAGUUGCUACGCAAGGGCACUCUAAUGAGACUGCCGGUGACAAACCGGAGGAAGGUGGGGAUGACGUCAAGUCCUCAUGGCCCUUAUGGGUAGGGCUUCACACGUCAUACAAUGGUCGGUACAGAGGGUUGCCAAGCCGCGAGGCGGAGCCAAUCCCACAAAGCCGAUCGUAGUCCGGAUUGUUCUCUGCAACUCGAGAGCAUGAAGUCGGAAUCGCUAGUAAUCGCAGGUCAGCAUACUGCGGUGAAUACGUUCCCGGGUCUU